GGAAUCUUCCGCAAUGGACGAAAGUCUGACGGAGCAACGCCGCGUGAAUGAUGAAGGCCUUCGGGUCGUAAAGUUCUGUUGUUAGGGAAGAACAAGUACCAGAGUAACUGCUGGUACCUUGACGGUACCUAACCAGAAAGCCACGGCUAACUACGUGCCAGCAGCCGCGGUAAUACGUAGGUGGCAAGCGUUGUCCGGAAUUAUUGGGCGUAAAGCGCGCGCAGGCGGUUUCUUAAGUCUGAUGUGAAAGCCCACGGCUCAACCGUGGAGGGUCAUUGGAAACUGGGAAACUUGAGUGCAGAAGAGGAGAGUGGAAUUCCACGUGUAGCGGUGAAAUGCGUAGAGAUGUGGAGGAACACCAGUGGCGAAGGCGACUCUCUGGUCUGUAACUGACGCUGAGGCGCGAAAGCGUGGGGAGCGAACAGGA
rnacentral:misc_RNA from 1 species